CACAAAUGUGUUUGAUUUGGAGUAGGAACUGAUAACUUCUUUGGAUUUGAAUUUCUUCUGUCAGCAAUAGGAGAGAAGUUCAGUCAGAUGAUUUCUAUCUGUGGGAAUCCAACUUUGACUUGUGGUGAUCCUACCCCUUCCUCAGUCUUUUACAAAUUAAGUGGCCUCCUCACCUGAGACGAGUAGAACUGUAUGCACAGUAAGGCACCAGGACGGAUCUAGACUGGCAAAGAAGUGGUGAGAGAAAUGGGGAAAGGGUUAGGGAAGAAGGGAGAGGACUCUCAACUACAGUCAUAGUGAGACCUUGAGUGCCUCUGCGUUAGUCCUUCCUCUUCCUCUACUCCUUGUGUCUCAGCUGAAGGGCAAACUUCAGGGACAAUCUCAUUUUGUUUCUACCACUGUUCAGGGUCCCACCUUGCGACCCUCUCCUGAGAGGUUGUCCACAACUCUGUCCCACCCCCGUUCUCCAUCUUCUUCCGCCAGAUCUGGGGCUGGGGCAUUGGAGAGGGGAAAGAGGAAACGUCGUGGCUGGCAGGGUAGGAAGGGAUGCGUGUCCAGGUGAGAAAGAGGUGUGACGUGCAGAUGGGAUGCCCGCCGCUAUGACGCUGCCGAGACCCGCGGUGACUGCGUCAGAGUUUCACCCGGGGAGAGCUCCCUCUUUGCCCACUAGCAGGGCAUUAGCUGGUGCUGAAGACAGUGGCUGCUUGGCGAGCCUGGAUCUCCAAGUGACCCCCUCAGCAACUCCUGAUGAACAGGACUGAAGCCAAUAUUAAAGCAAGUCAACCAAAGGUUCUCUGGUGUAGACAAGACAGCAAAAGGACAGACUACCUUGUGGAACCUAGCAUUGUUCUCCUUCUGCAGCACUAAGUAACAUUUGUUCUCCGUUAAGAUCUUUGCAAACCACACACAAGAAUUGCUGGUCAUCCUGCCAAUAGAUGCUGCUCACAGAACCAAAUUUCCUGUGCUGAAUUGUCACUCAUGGGCUUGAGAGUAGGAGACUGGAGACCAAGGUGGCUAGAAUCCAGUUGGGCCUGAUGUCUCCCUGUUGAAAGGGCUCCUUGUGGAAUGAAUAGCACAUGGCUCCUGUGGUGGAUCUGAUAGUGGCAUAGCACCAAGUGAUGCAGGCCUGCCAGGGGCCACAGACACAGAAGAUGCUCCCGGGGUCCCCCAUGUACUCCAGACACACUGCAGGCCACCUCUCCCAGCAGGUUGCCAGUCAUGGGCCCCAUCAUCAUGACUUCUGUCCAAGGUACUGUGUGCAGAAAUGUGAUUGAGAUUCAAGUCAGGGCCUCUCUGCCCUUUUCCCUCCAGAAACAAAACCAAGAUAAUUUAUCCUGAACACGGUGAAAAAAGGAAGGGAGGGAGGAGAAAAAGUCCGGGUCUCACCUGGGAUUCUCUGUCUCCUGCAACAUGAAGGAUUUAGCCUGGGAGGAGGUGGUGAGAACUCUGGGAGAGAAAAAAGAAGGAAAGAAUAGUUUUACCCAUGCUGAAGUUAAUUUAAACCUUCACCUAGAGAAGCAAAAAAAAAAAACCCACACUUUCCCAUUUUGUGCCUCCCUUCCUAGAGUUUUAGCCAAAGGUUUAGCUAAGUAAUUGGUUUUACCAGCGCACUCACUCCUCCUAUCCCAAGUCUGUUUGACUCCCUCCCCAUCAUCCUCCUCACCUCUUUUCAGGCAGGGUGGGGAUAGCAGCAGGAGGAGAUUUUGGGAGCCUGGCAACUCCUGCAAGGACCGCAGGACAGCCCCUCUGUGGGGAUGCGUGGUGCCCCAUCUGCCGCCCUUCUGAAGAAUGCACUGCCUUCACUUUUUACUGUGUUAGAGUCCAUCCAGACUGUUCUAUCCAAAAAAGUUUCUUUUUCCCCCACAGGCAAUCAGGAAAUGAUUCCUUUCCCGACUGCUUCUGUCUAGUGCCUGGGAAUCUUGAGUCAAUCCCUCAGUAAGUCAGUGACUAGGGAAAUCCCUCUCUGAGCCUCCCAGUUCAUGUUGCUUAGGGAACCUGAUAUUUUCGUGAAACCUGCCUACACAUGGGCAGCCCAACAGCAGAACAAAUGGUGGUGACCAAAGUGAACAAAGAAGUAUAGUUGUGCCAGCUUCGUAGUUGCCCAUGUGGACAAGUCAGCAGGAUCAGGACACGAGGAAGAGUAAAUGUGAGACAGUCAAUGUGACUUCUGCGAUAAACAGAUUUUUAAACCCCGAAAUUUUGCAAAAUUUUGGUGAAACCUGAACUUUCUUCGUUGCAUAUACUGGCACUAUCUGUACCAUCAUACAACUGUCUCACAUUAAAGCUAUUUUUCUUGGGCACUGAUGAGUAAGGUUGGUAUAAGUUCCUCAGAUCAACAAAAACCCAUUUUCCUGUAAGUCUUACAUUUAGUAUUUAAGGAACUAAAACUUAAAUACAUUUUGUGAAAUGGUUGACACUUCACUGAUAAUGAUUUAUUGCUUGGAUUAAUAAAUUUUCCAAAAGUUGUCUUAUGUAGAAUAUGGUUUGCAACCAGCAGAACCAUUAAUCUAUACUGCAAUGAUAUGCACUAUGUAUAAUUGUUUAAAAGCCUCUACUUAAUGAUGUAAAAUGCUCUAUUUAAUUACACAUUUGGGUAAACUGUAUACUAACAUCUGAUGGCAUUUUUCCACUGUUUGUUGCUUUUUUCAAAUACUUUAUUGUACAAAGCUGUUCUUAAUAUUUUUCAAGUUUUUUUCUUUGAAUUUUGCUAAUGUUUUCCUUGAAUUAUGAGCACUGACAGAAUGUGCUUAGCACUUUUGGCUAUUCACACAGCUUUUGAGCAUGAUUUGCAUCCAAUAUUUACAUUGCUAGCAAUAAUAAGCCAUCUGUGAGUUUUGUCAAAAGUUAUUGGGGAUUUUUUAAAUUUUAGAAAUGCAAAUUAUUGUUUCUUUGAACUAACUCUUAUGCAGUUGCAAAGGCAUUUCCAGUUGUUAUAGUUUGUGUACAAUAUCAGGUGUUCCAGAUUAUGAUUCAUUAUUAAUAUCAUUGCUUCCUUGUUCCCUCUGAGGUCCAGAAGAUUCAUGUUUACAAUAUUUAGAAACAAUGUUAAAAAGGUAUCCAAAGUUUGUCACUUUAUUAUUAGUUUGUUCUUAAUAUUCUGUUUAAGUUUUUGAAUUCAUAGAUAUCAAAACGCUGCACAAUUAUGAUUUCCACAGGAAUAACAACACACUAACAAUAAGAACCAAAAACAGCAAAUAGGCUGCCUACAAGUUUUGACAAUAUUAGGAUAAUGAUAAUGACAGUUUUUCUAAAUCUCACAGUAAAGAAUGCAGCAACCCAGCAACACUGCUACCUGUGGCCUCAGGCUGCAGUGUCAGCUCUUCCCUGGGUCUCCAGCCUGCCAGUCUAACCUGAAAAUUAUGUACUUGCCAGCCCCCACAGUCACGUGAGUGAACUGGCCCAGGCUGGUCACCAGGGUCAGUUUCUCUGUGUGUCAUUAAUUCAUUCAGUCUUCAGCAGUCUCUUUGGAGCUGAGAUGUACCUACCAUCUGCCUUUUGGGUGCUUAGGGUGGAGAACCAGAAAAGUAUAACCUAGUGUGUAUCCUCAAAGAGCUAACAAUAUGGGGUGGUACCUAUAGGUCUGGAAACACUUUACUGACUCUGUGAGGCAUACCAGGAGACGUCAGAGAACAGUCCCUCCUCAAAUGCCAAAUGAGAUGCAGAAGAAAUAGUUUGCUCAAGUUCAUGGGCCAGAUAUCCCAGUGGUCAGGGAGUUUCAUGAAUGAGAUGGAACUUUGCAUGGAACCCGAGGGAUGUGUAUGAUUUGAGUAGAUGAAGAAAAUGAGACUUUCCAAGCAGCUAGAAGUUAGGGAGCAGCAAGAUGUGUGGUGGGAUUGAGCACAGUUGGUUCAGAGGAUAGACUGCAGUUUUAAUAAUUUGUAGUAAAUAUCUCCCAACUGUUUGGCACUAUUGGAGCAAGUUCUUGAAUGCCAAAUGAAGGCAUAAAUCAGUAAGAGGCAUAAUAAAAGGCUGAGCAGUGCUUGGCUUUUUACGAACUGAUCCUGAUAGGAGCAGCUGUUCAACAAAGUUGCCAGGUCACCGUUACAUAGUCCCUGCCUUCUAGGGGCUCACUGCCUACUGGGAGAGACAGUCUGAAAGUUGGUGGAGCAUGUAACUGUUGGAUGAGGAGUUUGAGCCUGUGGACUGUGGGACCCCCGAGGAGGGUGUGGCUACUCUAGGCAGAACAAUCCCACAGUUUAUUUAUAUUUAACCUUGAAAUUCAUUAGAGGAUUUUUCAGCAGAGGUUUGGUACUUGUUAAUGUUAAGGUUUGCAUUCUCUAGAACCUCAAGGAAAGCUGUACCGUGCAUAAUGUACCCUCUUAUGUUAAUGUUGUGUACUGUGAUCCUGUUUCAGGGACUUGCACUUAGGAAUCUGUUACAGUGAGCACAGAAGCAGACCUGUGGGCUCAUAGUCUUCACCCCCCACCCAUAUAUACAAGAUGAACAGAGUGGAGGUUAAACAACUUGACUAAACAACACAGUUCAUGGUAAAGCCCAAGACUGUACCUGCCCAUCCACUGCCUUUUCCAUGUAUCCUGGAACUGAGCAUAGACCUCUUCCCAGGCAGAGCUGACAGCAAGUAAAGGAGAUCAUAAUCAGGGGACCAAACAACUUUGUCUAAAGUGUGAAUGUCACCUAAGGAGAAGCUGUGAGAUCAGAAGGGUGGGGCAGAGGAGCAGACACCAUGAGGGAGAGUCCUUGGGGGUACAUCUGCCAGACUGACACUGUCUGGCCUGGGCAGUGGAGGGGCUAGCAGGAACCACAGGUACUGGUGGUGUGGCUACUACCGUUACAACUGCCUGUGCUUGGACAUGGACCCUCUGCAAUAUGCGGCAGUUUCAUUCAUUGCCCCCUACAUUCUACACCAAGUAGAAAUGGAAGGCAAUUGGAUACUUCACAGACAAGAUCUAAGUGGAGAAGGAAUGCGUCCUGUGGCUGCAGAGAUCCUUGGAGCUUGGAGGGGAGAGCUUGAGCCCCACUGAUGAUGACCUCCCACAGCUCGCCAACUCAGCCCUCCCUAAGUCCCCAUCGGGGGCCAAUUCUCACUCUGGGGUUGGGGGGACUCCACCAUAGCUCAUCCAUCAUAGGGAUGUUGGUAUCUACUGUGGGUUGGGUAGGGCCGAUGUGCUGAGGAUGGCUCCCCCACAAGCAAGAGAUGUGGAUUUGGGGAGCUUCCCAUCUUGUGUUGAAGGAACAUAACUCAGAAUAAUAAGAGCCAACUAUAACAAACCCACAGCCAACAUCAUACUGAAUGGGCAAAAGCUGCAGGCAUUCCCCUUGAAAAGUGGCACAGGAUAAGGAAGCCCUUUCUCACCACUCCUAUUCAAUAUAGUGUUGAAAGUCCUGAUCACAGCAGUCAGGCAACAGAAAUAAUAAAGGGCAUCCAAAUAGGAAGAGAGGAAGUCAAACUAUCCUUGUUUGCAGACAGUAUGAUUCUAUAUCUAGAAAACCCCAUAGCCUCAGCCCAAAAGGUCCUUCAUCUGAUAAUUUCAGCAAAGUUUCAGGAGACAAAAUCAGUGUACAAAAAUCACUAACAUUCCUAUACACAGUCGCCAAGCCAAGAGCCAAAUCAGGAGCACAAUCCCAUUCAUAAUUGCCACAAAAAAGAAUAAAAUACCCAGGAAUGCAGCUAACCAAGGAAGUAAAGGAUCUCUACAAUGAGAAUCACAAACGCUGCUCAAAGAAAUCAGAGAUGACACAAACAAAUGGAAAAACUUUCCAUGCUCAUGGCUAGGAAGAAUCAAUAUCAUUAAAGUGGCCAUACUACCCAAAGCAAUUUAUAGAUUCAAUGCUAUUCCUAUCAAACUAUCAAUUACAUUUUUCACAGAACUAGAAAAAACUUAAAAUUCAUAUGGAACCAAAAAGCCUGAGUAGUCAAGGCAAUCCUAAACAAAAAGAACAAAGGUGGAGGCAUCACAUUACCUAACUUCAAACUACAGGGCUACCAUGACCAAAACAGCAUGGUACUGGUACAAAAGCAGACACACAGACCAGUGGGACAGAAUAGAGAGCCCAAAAAUAAGGCCACAAACCUACAGCCAUCUGAUCUUCAACAAAGUUGACAAAAACAAGCAAUGGGGAAAGGUCUCCCUAUUCAAUAAAUGGUGCUGGGAUAACUGGCUGGCCAUAUGCAGAAGAUCGUAACUGGACCCCUUUUACUAUGUACAAAAAUUAAGAUGGUUUAAAGAGUUAAAACCCAAAAUUAUAAAAAUCCUGAAGAUAACUUAGGCAAUACCAUUCUGGACAUAGGAACUGGCAAAUAUUUCAUGAUGAAGACACCAAAAGCAAUUGUAACAAAAGCAAAAAUGGACAAAUUGGAUUUAAGAGCUUUUUCAUAGCAAAAUAAACAACAGGGCAGACAAUCUACCAAAUGACAGAAAAUUUUUGCAAACUAUGCAUCUGACAAGGGGCUAAUAUCUAGCAUCUAUAAGGAAUUUAAACACAGUUACAGGAAAAAAAAAACCCACUCCAUUAAAAAAUGGGCAAAGGACAUGAACAGACACUUUUCAAAAAAGACAUACAUACAGCCAACUAGCGUGUUAAAGAAAACCUCAAUUAUCACUGAUCAUUAGAGAAAUGCAAAAUCAAAACCAUGAUGAGAUAUCAUCUGCCAGUCAGGAUGGCUACAAAAAAGUAAAAAAAUAAUAGAUGUUGGUGAGGUUAUGGAGAAAAGGAACUUAUACACUUGUUAGGAGUGUAAAUUAGUUCAAUCACUGUGGACAGCAGUGUGGUGAUUCCUCAGAGAGCUAAAAACAACUACCAUUUGACUCACCAAUCCCAUUACUGGAUAUUUACCUAAAGGAAUAUAAAUCAUUCCACCAUAAAGACACAUGCAAGUGUAUGUUCAUUGCAGCACUAUUAACAGUAACAAAGCUGGGCACAGUGGCUCACCUCACGACUGUAAUCCCAGCACUUUGGGAGGCUGAGGUAGGCGGAUCACCUGAGGUCGGCAGUUUGAGACCAGCCUGACCAACAUGGAGAGACCCCAUCUCUACUAAAAAUACAAAAUUAGCCAGGUGUGGUGGCUCAUGCCUGUAAUCCCAGCUACUUGGGAGGCCAAGGCAGGAGAAUUGCUUGAACCCAGGAGGCAGAGGUUGCAGUGAGCCGAGAUCACACCAUUGCACUCUAGCCUGGUGAAGGAGCAAGACUCCAUCUCAAAAAAAAAAAAAAAAAAGAAAGAAAGAAAAAUACACAUUCAGAGGAGACAAAAAAUAAAAAACAAUGAUGCAUGCCCACAGGAUCUAGAAAAUAACUUCUUAAGGGCAAAUCUAGGAGUUAUUGGCCUUAAAGAAGAGAUAGAGAAAGAGAUAGGAAUAGAAAGUUUGUUGAAAGGGAUAAUAACAUAGAACUUCCUAAACCUACAGAAAGAUAUUUAUAUCCAAGUACAAGAAGGUUAUAGAACACCAGGCCAAUUUAACCCAAAGAUUACCUCAAGGCAUUUAAUAAUCAAACUCCCACAGGACAAGGGUAAAGAAAGGAUCCUAAAAGCAGCAAGAGAAAAGAAACAGAUAACAUACAAUGGAGCUCCAAUACAUCUGGCAGUAUAUUUUUCAGUGGAAACCUUACAAGCCAGGAGAGAGUGACAUGACAUAUGUUAAAGUGCUGAAGGGAAAAAACCUUUUACCCUAGAAUAGUAUAUCCAGCAAAAAUAUCCUUCAAACAUGAAGAAUAAACAAAGACUUCCCCAGACAAACAAAAGCUGAGGGAUUUCAUCAACACUAGACUGGUCCCAUAAGAAACGCUUAAGGGAGUACUUUGGUCAGAAAGAAACAGACAUUAAUGAGCAACAAAGAAUCAUCUAAAGGUAAAAAACUCACUGUUAAGAGUAAGUACACAGAAAAACCCAAAGUGUGAUAACAUUGUAACUGUGGUGUGUAAGUAGAAAGAAUAAAUGAUAAACCAAUCAAAAAUAGUAACUACAACUUUUCAAGACCAGUCAGAAAAAUAAGAUAAAAUUAGAAACAACAAAAAGUUAAAAAGUGGGGGGAUGAAGUUAAGAUGUAGAGUUUUUAUUAGUUUUUUGUUUGUUAAUGCAAACAGUGUUACCAGGUUAAAAUAAUGGGUUACAAAAUAGUAUUUGUAAUCCUUAUGGUAACCUCAAACCUAAAAACAUACACUGGAUACAUAAAAAAUAAAAAGCAAAAACCUAAAUCAUAUCACCAGAGCAAACUACCUUCCCUAAAGGAAGACAGGAAGAAAAGAAAGAAGAAGACCACAAAACAACCAGAAAACAAAUAAAUAACAAGGCAGGAGUAAGUCUUUACUUAUCGAUAAUACAUUGAAUGGAAAUAUGGACUAAACUCUCCAAUCAAAAGACAUAGACUGGCUGAAUGAAUGGAGAAAACAAGACCCAUUGAUCUGUUGCCUACAAGAAACACACUUAAACUAUAAAGACACACAUAGGCUGAAAGUAAAGAGUUGGAAAGAGUUAUUCCAUGCCAAUGGAAACCAGGAAAAAGAGAAGGAGUAUUGAUUUUGAUACAAAAACUAUGAGACAAAUAAAGUCACUAUACAAUGAUAAAGGGGUUAAUAUGGUUUCCAUUUGUGCCCCACCCAAAUUUCGUGUUCUAUUGUAAUCCUCAAUGUUGGAGGUGGGGCCUGGUGGGACGUGAUUAGAUCAUGGGGGUGGAUCUUUCAUGACUAAUUCAGCACCAUCUUCUUAGUGCUGUUCUCAUGAUAGUGAGUUCUUCUGAAAUCUGGUUGCUUAAAAGUGUGUAGCACCUCUCCACACCACCCGCUUGCCUUGGUCUACUCCUGCUAUGUAGAUGCUUGCUCCCACUUUGCAUUAUUCCAUGAGUAAAAGCUCCCUCAGGCCUUCCCAGAAUCAGAUGCCGCUAUGCUUCCUGAACAGCCUGUGGAACUAUGAGCCAAUUCAACCUCUUUUCUUCAUAAAUUAACAAGUCUUGGGUAUUUCUUUAUAGCAGUGUGAGAACAGAAUAAUACAGAAAAUUGGUAAAGAGGAGUGAGGCAUUGCUAGAAAGAUACCUGAAAAUGUGGAAACAGCAGUGGAACUGGGAAAUAGACAGAGGUUGGAAGAGUGUGGAGGGCUCCGAAGAUAGGAAGAUGAGGGGAAGUUUGGAAUUUCUUAGAGAUUUGUUAAAUUGUUUUGACCAAAAUACUGAUGGUGAUAUGGACAAUGAAGUCCAGGCUGAGGAGGUCUCAGAUGGAGAUGAGGGACUUAUUGGGACCUGGAGUGAAGGUCACUUUUGUUAGGACAUUGUGGUUGGAGACAUUGUGCCCCUGCCCUAGGAAUCUGUGGAACUUUGAACUUGAGAGCGAAGAUUUAGGGUAUCUGGCAGAAGAAAUUUCUAAGCAGCAAAGCGUUCAAGACGUGGCCUGGCUGCUUCUGGUAGUCUGUGCUCAUAUUUGUGAGCAAAGACAUGACAAGAAACUGGAACUUAUAUUUAAAAAGGAAGCAGAGUGUAAAAGUUUGGAGAAUUUGCAGCCUGGCCAUGUUGUAGAAAAGAAAAAAACCAUUUUCUGGAGAGGAAUUCAAGCUAGCUGCAGAAAAUUGCAAGUAACAAGGAGCAAAAUGUUGAUAGCCAAGAUAGUGGGAAAAACACCUUGAAGGCAUUUCAGAUACCUUGGGGGCAGCCUCUCCCAUCACAGGCCCAAAGGCCUAGGAGGGAAGGAUGGUUUCCUGGGCCAGGCUCAGGGUCCUGCUGCCCUGCACAACCUCAGGAAACUGCUCUCCAAAUCCCAGCUGCUCCAGCUCCAGCUUCAGCUCAAAGGGCCCCAGGUAUAGCUCAGGCUGCUGCUCCAUAGGAUGCAAGUUAUAAGCCUUAGUGGCUCCCGUGUGGUGUUAAAUUAAGCCUGUAGGUGCACAGAGUGCAAGAAUUGAGGCUUGGGAGCCUCCAACUAGAUUUCAGAGUAUGUGUGGGAAAGCCUGGAUGUCCAGGCAGAAGCCAGCUGCAGGGACAGAGCCCUCAUGGAGAACCUCUACUAGGGUAGUGUGGAGGGGAAAUUUGGGGUUGGAGUUCCCACACAGCUUCCCCUCUGGUGUACUGCCUAGUGGAGCUGUGAGAAGACAGCCACUGUCCUCCAGAUUCCAGGAUGAUAGAUCUGCCAAUGACAGCUUGCACUGUACAACUGGAAAAGCCACAGGCAGUCAAUGCCAGCCCGUGAAAGCAGUGACAGUGGCUUACCCUGCAAAGUCCCAGGGGCUGAGCUGCCCAAGGCCUUGGGAGCCCACCCCUUGCACCAGUGUGCCCUGGAUGUGAGAUAUGGAGUCAAAGGAGAGUAUUUUGGAGCUUUAAGAUUUAAUGACUACCUGCUGGGUUUCAGACUUGCAUGGGUCCAGUAGCCCCUUUCUUUUGGCCAAUUUCUCACUUUUGGAAUGGGAGUGUUUACCCAAUUCCUGUACCCCCACUGUAUGUUGGAAGUAACUAACUGUUUUUUUAUUUUGUAAGCUCACAGGUGGGAGAGACUUGCCUUGUCUCAGGUUGAGACUCUGGACUUUGGACUUUUGAAUUAAUGCUGGAAUGAGUUAAGACUUUGAGGGACUGUUGGGAAGAUAUAACUGUAUUUUGCAGUAUGAGAAGGACAUGAGAUUUGGGAGACACCAGAGGUGGAAUAAUAUGAUUUGGAUCUGCAUCCCCACCAAAAUCUCAUGUUCAAUUGUAAUCCUAAAUUUUGGAGGUUGAGCCUGGUGGAAGAGGAUUGGAUAAUGGGGGUGGUUUCUCAUGGUUUAACACCAUCCCCCUGGGUGCUGUUCUCAUGACAGUGAGUGAGUUAUUGUGAGAUCUGAUUGUUUAAAAGUGUGUGCCACCUCCUCCCACUUUCCUCCUGCUCCAGCCAUGUAAGACAGGCUUGCCUCCCCUUCACCUUUUGUCAUGAUUGUAAGUGUUCUGAGGCCUCCCCAGCCAUGCUUCCUGUACAGCCUGCAGAACUGUGAGCCAAUUAAACCUCUUUUCUCUAUAUAUUACCCAGUCUCGGGUAUUUCUUUAUAGCAGUGCAAGAAUAGACUAAUACAGGGUUCAAUUCAGCAAGAGGAUAUAACAAAUAUAAAUAUAUAUGCACUCAACACUGCAGCACCCAGAUAUAUAAAGCAAAUACGAUUAGAGCUAAAGAGAGAGAGUGACCCCAAUACAAUAAUAGCUGGAGACUUCAACACCACAUUUUCAGCACUGGACAGAUCUUCCAGACAGAAAAUAAAAAAGAAACAUCAGACUUAAUCUGCACUGUAGAUCAAAUGGAUCUAAUACAUACUUGCAGAACAUUUUAUCCAAUGGCUGCAGAAUACACAUUCUUUUUUAGCACAUGUAUCAUUCUCAAGGAUAGACCAUAUGUUAGGUCACAAGUCUUAAAACAUUAAAAAAGUUGAAUACCAUCAAGCAUCUUCUCUGACCACAGUGGAAUACAACUAGAAACUAAUAACAAGAGGAAUUUUUGAAACUACAAAUACAUGAAAAUUAAACAAUAUGCUCCUGAAUGACCAUUGAGUCAAUGAAGAAAUUAAGAAGGAAAUUGAACAAUUUCUUGAAACAAAUGAUAAAGGAAACACAACAUACCAAAACCUAUGGGAUACGGCAAAAGCAGUACUAAGAGGCAAAUUGAUAGCUAUAAGUGCCUACAUGAAAAAAGAGGAAAAACUUCAAAUAAGCAAUUUAACAAUGAACCUUAACCAGAAAAGCAAGAGCAAAACAAACACAAAAUUAGAAGAAAACAAAUAAUAAAAAUUAGAGCAUAAAUAAAUAAAAUUGAAAUAAAAAUCAAUGCAAAAGAACAAUGAAACAAAAAGUUGCUUUUUUUCAAAAGUUAAACAAAACUGACAAGCCUUUAGCAAGACUGAGAAAAAAGAGACAAGAUACAAAUCAGAAAUGAAAAAGACAUUACAACUGACACUGCAGAAAUUCAAAGGAUCAUUAGGGGCUACUAUGAGCAACUCUAUGCCAAUAAAUUGGAAAAUCUAGAAGAAAUUGACAAUUCCUAGACACAUACAACCUACUGAGACUGGACCAGGAAGAAAUCCAAAACCUGAACAGACUAAUAACAAGUAACAAGGUUGAAGCCAUAAUAAAAAGUCUCCCACUAAAGAAAACCAAGGACCCGAUGGCUUCACUGUUGAAUUCUACCAAACAUUUAAAGAAGAACUAAUACCAAUCCCACUCAAGCUAUUGAAAAAUAGAGGAGGAGAGAAUAUUUCCAAAGUCAUUCUAGGAGACCAGUAUCACCCUGAUACCAAAACCAGACAAAGACACAUCAAAAAAAGAAAACUGCUGGCCAAUUUCUCUGAUGAAUAUUGAUGCCAGAAUCCUCAGCAAAAUAUUAGCAAACUAAAUUCAACAAUACAUUAAAAAGAUCAUUCAUCAGGGUCGGGUGCAGUGGCUUAAGCCUCUAAUCCCAGCACUUUGGGAGGCCGAGGUGGGCAGAUCACCUGAGGUCAGGAGUUCAAGACCAGCCUGACCAACAUGGUGAAACCUCGUCUCUACUGAAAAUACAAAAUUAGCCGAGUGUGGUGGUGCAUGCCUGUAAUCCCAGCUACUCAGGAGACUGAGGCAGGAGAAUCACUUGAACCCAGGAGGUGGAGGUUGCAGUGAGCUGAGAUUGUGGCACUGCACUCCAGCCUUGGUGACAGAGUGAGACUCCAUUAAAAAAAAAAUCAUUUAUCAUGACCAAGUGGGAUUUAUCCCUGGAAUGCAAGGAUGGUUCAACACAUGCAAAUCAAUCAAUGUAAUACAUCAUAUCAAAAAGAAUGAUUAAAACCAUAUGAUUAUUUCUAUUGAUGCUGAAAAAGUAGUUUAUAAAAUCCAACAUCCCUUCAUGAUAAAAACCCUCAAAAAACUGUAUAAAAGAAAUAUACCUCAACGUAAUAGCCAGAUAUGACAGACCCACAGCUAGUAUCAUACUGAAUGGGGAAAAAGUGAAAGACUUUCCUAUAAGAUCUGGAACACAACAGGGAUGUUCACUGUCACCACUGUUAUUCAACAAAGUACUGGAUGUUCUAGCUAGAGCGAUCAGACAAGAGAAGAUAUAAAGGCCAUCCAAACUGGAAAGGGAGAAGUUAAAUUACCCUAGUUUGCAGAUGAUAUGAACUUAUAUUUGGAAAAAACCUAAAGGCUCCACAGGAAAACUAUUAGAAUCAAUAAAUUCAGUAAAGUUGCAGGACACAAAAUCAACAUAUAAAAACCAGUAGCAUUUCUAUAUGUCAACAGUGAACAAUUUGAAAAAUUUUAAAUUUAAGAAGGUAAUUUCAUUUACAAUAGCCACACAUAAAAUUAAAUACCUAGGAAUUAACCAAAAAUGUGCAAGAUAUCUAUGAGGAGAAUUAUAAAACAUUGAUGAAAGAAAUUGAAGAGGACACAAAAAAAAUGGAAAAAAUUCCAUCUUUAUGGAUUGGAAGAAUCAAUAUUGUUAAAAUGUCCAUACUACCCAAAGCAAUCUACAGAUUUAAUGCAAUCCCUAUCAAAAUACCAAUAAUAGUCUUCAGAGAAAUAGAAAAAAAAAUCCCAAAAUUUAUAUGAAAACACAGAAUGCCCAGAAUAGCCAAAAUUAUAUUAAGCAAAAAGAUCAAAACUGGAGGAAUCACAUUACCUGACUUCAAAUUAUGCUACAGAGCUAUAAUCACCAAAACAGCAUGGUACUGACAUAAAAACAGACACAUAGUCCAACAGAACAGAAUAGAGAACCUAGAAACAAAUCCACACACUCACAGGGAACUCAUUUUUGACAGAGUUGCCAAGUACUUAUACUGGAGAAAAGAAAAGACAGUCUCUUCAAUGAAAUGGUGCUGGGAAAACUGGAUAUCCAUAUGCAGAAGAAUGAAACUAGACCCCUACCUCUCACUGUAGACAAAAGUCAAAUCAAGGCUAGGCAUGGUGGCUUACACCUGUAAUCUCAGCACUUUGGGAGGCUGAGGCAGGCGUAUCACGAGGUGAAGAGAUUGAGACCAUCCUGACCAACAUGGUGAAACUCACCCCCCCCCACCCACUAAAAAUACAAAAAUUAGCUGGGCGUGAUGGCAUGUGCCUGCAGUCCUAGCUACUCAGGAGGCUGGGGCAGGAGAAUCGCUUGAACCCAGGAGGUGGAGGUUGCAGUGAGCUGAGAUUGUGCCACUGCACUCCAGCCUGGCGACAGAGCAAGACUCCAUCUCAAAAAAUAAAAAAUAAAUUCAAAAUGUAAUAAAGACUUAAAUCUAAGACCUCAAACAUGAAACUACUAUAAGAAAACAUUGGGGAAAACCUCCAGGACAGUAGUCUGGCCAAAAAUUUCUUGAGCAAUACCCCACAAGCACAGGCAACCAAAAUAAAACUGGACAAAUAGUAUCACAUCAAGUUUAAAAGCUUCUACAAAGCAAAGGAUACAAUCAAUAAAGAGACAACCCACAGAAUGGGAGAAAAUAUUUGCAAACUACCCAUCUGACAAAGAAAUAAUAACCAGAGUAUAUAAGAAGCUCAAACAACUCUAUAGUAAAAAAAAAAAAAAAAAAAAUUCUAAAAGUCUAAGUAAAAAAAUGGGCAAAAGAUUUGAAUAGACAUUUCUCAAAAGAAGACAUACAGGCCAUGCGUGGUGGCUCAUGCCUGUAAUCCCAGCACUUUGGGAGGCCCAGGCGGGUGGAUCACUUGAGGUCAGGAGUUCGAGACCAGCCUGACCAACAUUGUGAAACUCCGUCUCUACUAAAAAUACAAAAAUAAGCCAGGCAUGGUGGCGCACACCUGUAAUCCCAGCUACUCAGGAGGCUGAGGCAGGAGAAUCGCUUAAACCUGGGAGACAGAGGUUGCAGUAAGCCGAGAUCACACCACUGCACUCCAGCCUGGGCAACAAAGUGAGACUCCGUCUCACAAAAAAAAAAAAAAAAAAAAAAAAAAAAGAAAAGAAAAAGGAAGAAGACAUACAAAGCCAGGUACAGUGGCUUAUGCCUCUAAUCCUAGCACUUUAGGAGGCCAAGGCAGAUGGAAUUGAGCCCAGAAGUUUGAGACCAGACUGAGCAAUAUGGUCAAACCCCAAUUCUGCAAAAUACAAAAAUAAAAAAUAGCUGGGAGUGGUGGUGCACACCUGUAGUCCCAGCUACUUAGGAAGCUGAGAUGGGAGGAUCACUUGAGCCUGCAGUGAAUCAUAAUUGCACCAAUGCACUCCAGCCUGGGCGACAGAGUGAGAGACAUUGUCUCAAAAAAAAGAAAAAGAAAAAAAAGAAAGGACAUAAAAAUGACAAACAGGCAUAUGAAAAGGUGCUGAUGAUUAUUGAUCCUCAGAGAAAUGCAAAUCAAAACUGCAAUGAGAUAUAAUCUCACCCCAGUUAAAAUGGCUUAUAUCCAAAAGACAGGCAAUAACAAAUGCUGGUGAGGAUGUGGAUAAAAGGGAACCCUCGUACACUGUUGAUGGGAAUGUAAAUUAGUACAACCACUAUGGAUAACAGUUUAGAGGUUCCUCAGAAAACUAAAAAUUGAGUUGCGAUAUGAUGCAACAAUCCUACUGCUGGGUAUAUACCCCACAAAAGACAAAACCAGCGUUUUGCAUGGUGGCUCACACCUGUAAUCCCAGCACUAUGGGAGGCCGAGGAGGGCAGAUCACUUGAGCCCAGAAGUUCAAGACCAGCCCGAGCAACAUGGCAAAACCUGAUUUCUACAAAAUACAAAAAAAAAAUUAGGCAGUUGUAGUGGUUCACACCUAUAGUCCUAGCUACUGUGGAGGCUGAGGUAGGAUCACUUGAACCUAGGAGGUGGAGGUUGCAGUGAGCCAAGAUCAUGCCACUGCACUCCAGCCUGGGUGACAAAGUGUGACCCUGUCUCAAAAAAGAAAAUCAGUAUAUGGAAGAGGUAUCUGCACUCCUAUGUUUUUUACAACACUGUUUACAAUAGCUAAGAUUUGGAAGCAACCUAAAUGUCUAACAGCAGAUGAAUGGAUAAGGAAAAUUUGGUAUGUAUACACAAUGAAGUACUAUUCAGCCAUAAAAAGGAAUGAGAUCCAGUCAUUUGCAACAGCAUGGAUGGAAGUGGAGAUCAUUAUGUUAAAUGAAAUAAGCCAGGCACAGAAAGGCAAACAUGGCAUGUUCUCACUUAUUUGUGGGACCUAAAUUCAAAACAAUUGAACUAAUGGACAUAAAGAGUAGAAGAAUGGUUACCAGAGGCUAGGAAUGGUAGUGGGGGGCUGAAGGGAAGGUGGGGAUGUUUAAUCGGUAAAAAAAAAUUUAGAAGAAUAAGACCUACUAUUUGAUAGCACAAUAGGGGGACUAUAGUCAAUAAUGCACAUUUAAAAAUAGUGUAAUUGAAUGGUUUGUAACUCAAAGGAUAAAUGCUUGAGGGAAUGGAUACCCCAUUCUCCAUGAUGUGCUUAUUUCACAUUGCAUACCUGUAUCAAAACAUCUCAUGUACCCCAUAAAUAUAUGCAGCUAUUAUGUACCCAC
rnacentral:lncRNA from 1 species